rnacentral:rRNA from 1 species
AUUGAACGCUGGCGGCAGGCCUAACACAUGCAAGUCGAACGAGUGGCGGACGGGUGAGUAAUGUCUGGGAAACUGCCUGAUGGAGGGGGAUAACUACUGGAAACGGUAGCUAAUACCGCAUACCAUCAGAUGUUCCCAAAUGGGAUUAACUUGUUGGGGGGGUAACGGCUCACCAGGGCGACGAUCCCUAGCUGUUCUGAGAGGAUGACCAGACACCAUGGAACUGAGACACGGUCCAGACGCCUACGUGAGGCAGCAGUGGGGAAUAUGGCACAAUGGGCGCAAGCCUGAGGCAGCCAUGCCGCGUGUAUGAAGAAGGCAUUCGGGUUGUAAAGUACUUUCAGCGGGGAGGCGUUACCCGCAGAAGAAGCACCGGCUAACUCCGUGCCAGCAGCCGCGGUAAUAC